GUUUGAGCCCAUCCCUCAAUCAAUGUUCAUAUUUUCAGGACACAGAAACCAUUUAAAGAAUAUAUAAAUAUAGCAGAAAUAUAAAACAUCAUUCCACAAAUGUUUGUUGUUUCCCCUUUGCCCACUUUGGUAUUCCCAAAUCCCCCCUAAUGUGGCAGUGACUCUCCACCAUGUUAGAGUCUUCCUGGCUGCUCAGGCGAGACUUCGCUCCGACCGGCGAACUGACGCGAUGACGCAUGCGCGGCGGCUGAAGACGUUUCCGACUGAGUGGAAAGUUCGCGGUCAUGAAGACGUUUGGAGGACGAGAGGAAGAAGGAGGGAGAGUGGAGGGAAAUAACACAAAGAACUGGAGUUUAUUGAGAGUUAUAAGAGGAAAUCAACGCCACCUGUUGAUGAGCGUUCAGUGAAAGCGACAAGCGAACAGCCUCUCGAACAACAAAGACUAACAUAGUGGCGGAAGAUUGUGAUCAUGAAGCUGCUGCAGUUCAUUAGCUGCUGUUUGUGGCUGUCAUUGAAGCAUUUGAAGGCUGAAGUCUCUGCACGACUGCACUCGUAGCUGCAGAGCCUACAAGGAUUCACCGGCUGAGUUGACUGUUUGGUGGAAGGGACACUGCAGCUGCUGUGUCGGCCACUGGAGGGCGCUCUGCCGUUGUUGACUUCAGGAGGACUGCUGGAACUAUGGAAGAGUCUUCAGGUUGGUCCACUUUCCAGUUGUUGGUGAACACAGUAUGUUUAUCUUUCAUAUCACUACUAGUGUAUAUUCUGUAAACACAUAAAUAACACAAGAGGUCCAAAAUGUAAUUCACCUGCAUGUAUAAAACUCUUUAAUUCAUGAAUAAAAAAUAUUGAAUGUACAUUAAUAUUAAUAAAUAACUCCACUCUGUUCCUCAGUGAACUUUCUGGUCAAGAGUUCUGAGUUAACAUUUAUCAGUAAUCAACAAUAAAUAAUGAACUGCUUUCAUAUGAAUUCAUGUUAAGUGUUGCAGUUCUUCACUCUGACCACUGGAGGGCGCUCUUCAUUGAACUGAACUCUAUUAUAUUAUUAGAUUUUAAUUCUUACAUUGAUCUUUUACAGAGAAACAUAAACAAUUACAUACAACAUGUUCGACAUGAAUUUCUGUGAAAGGUGAGGAAGUCUGCUAAAUGUUCAAAAUAUAUCAGCUGGAAGAUUGUAAUUGAAUUUUUACAUUUGGUGCAACAUAGCAGAAGAUCAAUAAGGAUAUAAAUAAAUAUAUAAUUAAAUAUUCAUCUCUUUCACCUACUUUAGUUACUCCGGUUAGUUCAGAAUGAAAAAAAUGCUUUACACUAAAUCAGAAAAGCUGUAAACAUAUUCCUGAAUGACGACUACCCAGACAUAUCAAUCAUUUAAUAGCUAUAAUAUAAAAUAAUGUAUAUAUAUUUUCUAACGUGUGUCUGUAUUUCAUUAUCCUCCACUGAUGUCCUGUUGGAGGAAGAGGAUCCUCCUGGAGCCCCAGUCUGGAUCAGGAGGACCCACCAGAGUUCAGCACUGAUCCAUUGAAACCUGUGGUCCCUGUAGUUCUGCUCUUUAUGGAGGACUGCUGCUGACACGCUCUGUGGGAACUAUAGAAGAGUCUUCAGAAAUGAAGGAAAUUGUGGGUCCAGAAUAAACUCCUCUAACCCAAAUCCCAUCGCUCCAGAGCCCCGGACCCUCAAACACACACACUGCUGUAACCAUCUUCCACUGUGAUGCUGUGGUUCUGCCAGAUGCCGGUUUGGACCACCAGCGGACCACCAGCGGACCA